UACGAAGGGGGCUAGCGUUGCUCGGAAUCACUGGGCGUAAAGCGCACGUAGGCGGAUUGCUAAGUCAGGGGUGAAAUCCUGGAGCUCAACUCCAGAACUGCCUUUGAUACUGGCGACCUUGAGUCCGGGAGAGGUGAGUGGAACUGCGAGUGUAGAGGUGAAAUUCGUAGAUAUUCGCAAGAACACCAGUGGCGAAGGCGGCUCACUGGCCCGGUACUGACGCUGAGGCGCGAAAGCGUGGGGAGCAAACAGG
rnacentral:rRNA from 1 species